rnacentral:rRNA from 1 species
GACGAACGCUGGCGGCGUGCUUAACACAUGCAAGUCGAACGGAAAGGCCCUGCUUUUGUGGGGUGCUCGAGUGGCGAACGGGUGAGUAACACGUGAGUAACCUGCCCUUGACUUUGGGAUAACUUCAGGAAACUGGGGCUAAUACCGGAUAGGAGCUCCUGCUGCAUGGUGGGGGUUGGAAAGUUUCGGCGGUUGGGGAUGGACUCGCGGCUUAUCAGCUUGUUGGUGGGGUAGUGGCUUACCAAGGCUUUGACGGGUAGCCGGCCUGAGAGGGUGACCGGCAGCAUGGGGCCUGGGAGAACGCGCGGCGGCCGGCGGGAGCGGCGAGGGGGGGAGGUGGCGGACUGGCCGGAGGUCGUCCGCCGCAACCCGGCGUGGGGAGGGAGGGCUGGCGGGGGGGAAUAAGAAGGCGCCGGGGACGGAGCGGGAGGCAGGGGGAGGGGUAAACGAGCACCCGCUAACCACCUG